CGUAAUACCUCGUCCUGCAGUUUUUAAGUUCCAGUCUAAAUUUCCAUGCAAUUCAAGCCUCUUGAAGGCGUUAUCUUAUUAAUUUUUCAGGAUAUUAUUAUGUCUAAUACAACAACAGGAACCGUUAAGUGGUUCAAUGAAGCGAAAGGUUUUGGUUUUAUCGAGCAAGCAUCUGGCCCAGAUGUUUUUGCCCAUUUCAGUGCUAUUGUAAGCUCAGGUUUUAAAACGCUGAUGGAAGGUCAAAAAGUUGAGUUUACUGUGACAACUGGUCAGAAAGGACCACAAGCAGAGAAUAUUGUUGCCGUAUAAACAAUAGCUCACGCUAUUUAAAAGGCAAGUCUUUCGG
rnacentral:sRNA from 1 species